rnacentral:RNase_P_RNA from 2 species
ACGGAAGUGUGGAUAGUGGCGGGGACUUUGAGUCCCUGAGGAAAGUCCGAACUCCAAAGAGCAAUCCGCUUUCUAACGGAAAGCUGGAGCAAUCCAGGGAAAGUGCCACAGAAAAUAUACAGCCAAUUUUUUUUUGAAAUUGGUAAUGGUGAAAUGGCGAGGUAAGAGCUCACCGCUUCGAUGGCGACAUCGGAGGCAGGGUAAACCCCGGAUGGAGCAAAGGCAAGUAAGAUUGCAAAAGGUUUCGUACCUCUUUUUCUGCUCGGAAAAGUGCCCGAAAGGGCAAUGCAAUCGGGUAGCCUGCUUGAGCAUUACGGCAACGUAUUGUCCAGAUAAAUCACUAUUGUGGACUUCUGUCCAUACAGAAUUCGGCUUAUAGCAUUUCCGUAAUU